rnacentral:rRNA from 1 species
UACAGAGGUCUCAAGCGUUGUUCGGAAUCACUGGGCGUAAAGGGUGCGUAGGCCGCACGGUAAGUCAGAGGUGAAAUCCCGGAGCUCAACUCCGGAAUUGCCUCCGAUACUGCCGUGCUUGAGGACUGGAGAGGAGAUUGGAAUUCACAGUGGAGCAGUGAAAUGCGUAGAUAUUGUGAGGAACACUAGUGGCGAAGGCGAAUCUCUGGGCUGAGAUUGACGCUCAGGCACGAAAGCGUGGGGAGCAAACAGG